rnacentral:rRNA from 1 species
GACGAACGCUGGCGGCGUGCUUAACACAUGCAAGUCGAACGGUGAAGCGAGUGCUUGCACUCGUGGAUCAGUGGCGAACGGGUGAGUAACACGUGAGUAACCUGCCCAUCACUCUGGGAUAAGCACUGGAAACGGUGUCUAAUACUGGAUACGACCAACCCUUGCAUGGGGUGUUGGUGGAAAGAUUUAUCGGUGAUGGAUGGACUCGCGGCCUAUCAGCUUGUUGGCGGGGUAAUGGCCCACCAAGGCGACGACGGGUAGCCGGCCUGAGAGGGUGACCGGCCACACUGGGACUGAGACACGGCCCAGACUCCUACGGGAGGCAGCAGUGGGGAAUAUUGCACAAUGGGCGAAAGCCUGAUGCAGCGACGCCGCGUGAGGGAUGACGGCCUUCGGGUUGUAAACCUCUUUCAGCAGGGAAGAAGCGAAAGUGACGGUACCUGCAGAAGAAGCACCGGCUAACUACGU